UCCCGUGUGGCUCAGUUGGUAGAGCAUGGUGUUUGCAACGCCAGGGUCGUGGGUUCGUUUCCCUCGGGGGAC
rnacentral:tRNA from 1 species